rnacentral:lncRNA from 1 species
AUCACAUUUAGAGGCCAAAGAUGAAGCGUGUGGAUGAAAAAAGAGAAAAGAAAAAAACAGUCUUUGCACUCUUUUGUCUUCUCUCUUUUGCUCAUUGACAAUUACAACCAAGAUUUGACAGGAGGGGACAUCUUUUUCUUUUAUCUGAACUCUUUUUCUCUGGUCAAAAGAGCCAUAGUGCUCAUUUUUACCAUCAUUAUCAUCAUCAAAGACUAUAGUUACAGGAUCUUUUUUACAAUAUCCCUUCUCUAAUACCAAAGCUACACACUUUUCUCACUUACCCUUCAACCUCCAAAAGAUUGAAAUCAUUCCAAUCCACAAAUCAACAAAA